rnacentral:rRNA from 1 species
UACAGAGGGUGCGAGCGUUAAUCGGAAUUACUGGGCGUAAAGCGCGCGUAGGCGGCUUUGCAAGUCGGGUGUGAAAUCCCCAGGCUUAACCUGGGAACUGCAUUCGAGACUGCAAGGCUUGAAUCUGGCAGAGGGGGGGUAGAAUUCCACGUGUAGCAGUGAAAUGCGUAGAGAUGUGGAGGAACACCGAUGGCGAAGGCAGCCCCCUGGGUCAAGAUUGACGCUCAUGCACGAAAGCGUGGGGAGCAAACAGG